GGCACGCAAAUUACCCACUCCCGGCACGGGGAGGUAGUGACAAAAAAUAACGAUACGGGACUCUAUUGAGGCCCCGUAAUCGGAAUGAGUACACUUUAAAUCCUUUAACAAGGAUCCAUUGGAGGGCAAGUCUGGUGCCAGCAGCCGCGGUAAUUCCAGCUCCAAUAGCGUAUAUUAAAGUUGUUGCGGUUAAAAAGCUCGUAGUUGGUUCUGCGUGCCGCGCUGUCGGUUCGCCGCCUGUCGGUGUAACUGGCAUGUCGCGGCAUGUCCUGUCGGUGGUGAGCGGGGUCCACGGUACUGCAUAGGCUUCUUUAGCCGAUGUUAGUGCCGUGUGCAUUUCCGUUCGCCGAUCUCUCCUACUCCGGUGCUCUUAAACGAGUGUCGAGGUAGGCCGACACGUUCACUUUGAACAAAUUAGAGUGCUUAAAGCAGGCUGAAAUAUCUGCCUGAAUAGUGGUGCAUGGAAUGAUAAAACAGGACCUCAGUUCUAUUUUGUUGGUUUUAGGAAUAUGAGGUAAUGAUCAAUAUGGACUGGCGGGGGCAUUCGUAUUGCGACGUUAGAGGUGAAAUUCUUGGAUCGUCGCAAGACGCACUAGAGCGAAAGCAUUUGCCAAGUAUGUCUUAAUUGAUCAAGAACGAAAGUUAGAGGUUCGAAGGCGAUCAGAUACCGCCCUAGUUCUAACCAUAAACGAUGCCAGCCAGCGAUCCGCCGAUGUUCCUUUAAUGACUCGGCGGGGAGCUUCUACCCGGGAAACCAAAGCUUUUGGGUUCCGGGGGAAGUAUGGUUGCAAAGCUGAAACUUAAAGGAAUUGACGGAAGGGCACCACCAGGAGUGGAGCCUGCGGCUUAAUUUGACUCAACACGGGAAACCUCACCAGGCCAGGACAUUGGAAGGAUUGACAGAUUGAUAGCUCUUUCUUGAUUCAGUGGGUAGUGGUGCAUGGCCGUCUUA
rnacentral:rRNA from 1 species